GGUUUUUGGAAUUUAUCAAAAAUCUAACCUGCUCAAUGUUCAUAUAAAUAGCCGCGGUAUCAUGACCGUGCAAAGGUAGCAUAAUAAUUAGUCUUUUAAUUGAAGACUGGAAUGAAUGGUUUGACUAAAUAUUUUUGUCUUAUAUUUAUAUUUCUAAUUUUAUAUUUUAAUAAAAAAGUUAAAAUAUUCUUAAGGGACGAGAAGACCCUAUCAAGCUUUAUAAUAAUUUAUUUAUUUUCAAAUUAAAUAAAAUAUUAUUUUACUGGGGCAGUAAAUAAAAAAAUAUUAUUUAUAUAUUGUAGUACCAAACUUUUAACAAACAAGAAAUUUUUAAAAAGAAAUAAGUUACUGUAGGGAUAACAGCAUAAUUUUUUUUAAGAGUUCUUAUCAUCAAAAAAGUUUGUGACCUCGAUGUUGGAUUAAGAUCCCUAGUUUGCGCAGUAGUAAAAAAAGGAAGUCCGUUCGACUUUUAAAAUCUUCCA
rnacentral:rRNA from 1 species